rnacentral:lncRNA from 1 species
CAUCGAUUCUUAGUAUCUUUUCAGCUUUGGAGAUUUCAUUUGACCCCAAACAACCAAGAAAUAAGUUCAUCUCUGGCGAAGAAGGCAGCAAGACAAUCUUGCAAGAUGUAGACUGAGCUAGGAUUGAGAGACAGAACAUUCCAAAGAAUCAGAUGCAGGUAAAAUAAGAGCAGUGUAAGCUAACCUCUGACCUCAGCCUCCUCAGCGCUGGGUAAGACGUGCAGUCUGCCAAGGUACCGACUUCACAUCACCCUAGCAACCCUUCCCUGGCAGGUGAGAACCCAAAAAUAGGUCAACGGCUAAAGGCUCCCAGAAGACAAGGGAGAGUCCAGCUGUGACAAAGUGACACCAGACAAAUCAAGUUUGCAAUUACUGCAAACGCUGGUCUACAAGAUCACGUCUGUGGGCUCUGUCCUUAAUUAUCAUCUCUCAUCUGUUUUGAACUACUCAUUAUGCAGCUUCCUAGUCAAAUGGGCAGGGCCGCAGAGAGGAGCACUGACAGAAGAGCCCACCUCUAGCCUUCAGCUCGUCUUCCUCUUCCACUUCUAUAUCCAGAUCUUCAGACACAGC